rnacentral:rRNA from 1 species
CCAAUAGCGUAUAUUAAAGUUGUUGCAGUUAAAAAGCUCGUAGUUGAAUUUUAGACUUGGCCGGGCGGUCCGUCUUUGGCGAGUACUGUUCCGUUGUCGGGUCUUCCUUCUGGUGAACCAGCAUGUCCUUAAUUGGGUGUGUUGGGGAGCCAGGACCAUUACCUUUAAAAAAUUAGUGUGUUUAACGCGGGCUAUUGCAUGAAUAGAUUAGCAUGGAAUAAUAGAAUAGGACGUUGUGGUUCUAUUUUGUUGGUUUCUAGGACCACCGUAAUGAUUAAUAGGGAUAGUUGGGGGCAUUAGUAUUCAAUUGUCAGAGGUGAAAUUCUUGGAUUUAUUGAAGACUAACUAUUGCGAAAGCAUUUGCCAAGGAUGUUUUCAUUAAUCAAGAACGAAAGUUAGGGGAUCGAAGACGAUCAGAUACCGUCGUAGUCUUAACCAUAAACUAUGCCGACUAGGAAUCGGGCGACGUUAUUUUCACGACUCGCUCGGCGCCUUAUG